rnacentral:rRNA from 1 species
UGAGGAAUAUUGCUCAAUGGGCGAAAGCCUGAAGCAGCAACGCCGCGUGCGCGAUGAAGGUCUUCGGAUCGUAAAGCGCUUUUGAGAGGGACGAGAUAGGACGGUACCUCUUGAAUAAGUCACGGCUAACUACGUGCCAGCAGCCGCGGUAAAACGUAGGUGGCAAGCGUUAUCCGGAUUCACUGGGCGUAAAGCGAGUGCAGGUGGUUGCGUAAGUUGGAUGUGAAAUUUCCCGGCUUAACCGGGAAGGGUCGUUCAAUACUGCGCGACUUGAGGGCAGAAGAGGGGGGUGGAAUUGCCGGUGUAGUGGUGAAAUGCGUAGAUAUCGGCGGGAACACCUGUGGCGAAAGCGGCCCCCUGGUCUGCUCCUGACACUCAGACUCGAAAGCUAGGGUAGCGAACG